rnacentral:tRNA from 1 species
GGGAAUGUGGCUUAGUGGUAGAGUGCUUGCCUCAUAUGCAUGAAACCUUGGGUUCAAUUCCUCGGUACCA